rnacentral:lncRNA from 1 species
CUUGGCCCUUGCUAGUAGACAUGCCGCACCAUCUUUACGGCUGCCUCGCAAUAGCACUAUCCAAGAAGAAGAAAAGAAAAAAUUAAAUUUUUAUCGAUGUGGCAUGGAAAAGACGAGAAAUCAACGAAAGACGGUCAUUUACACAGGCAAGAUGUAGAAGAUUACUAGAAGAGGGGGAACAAAUAUCCUCUAAGCUCUCUCUCUCUCUUGUAAGGUAGAAUAAAUCGCUCUCCAAAGUUAAUUUAAUAACCCACUUAAGGUGGACUUAAAUAGGCUUUGAGAGAAAUUUAUUUCCCUUUCCUAGAAGGACCUAAUUUCCUAUUAAAGAGAGAAUCUACAUCAAAAUAGAAAGCAGUCCUACAUUUCCUAAAGCAAGAUGAUCUCUAUACCUGCUGCCCUUUCCUACGAGGAUGCAACCUGAAAUUCUCAAUCAGCAAUUUCCUCUGGCAUCAAUUGAUGAAACUCCUAUCCUUAUCAGGAUGCAGAUUCAGUACCCAAAAACCAAGUAGUUGUCUCGAUCCACCUUUCAAAAAGAAGAUUCCCUUGACUUAGCAUAACGCGGAACAUCUUUUCCAAUGAUUGAGCCAUCGCUCUGCUCCCUCAAGUCCUUCAUUUUUCCAUAAAAUGAUUCAGUUUCAAUUUAUAACCAAUCUCAAAAUGAGCCCUUUAAGAAGGACGGACUGAAUCAUAUUAGCAAUAAUUUCCCCUAACUGAGCUAUAUCAAGGAAACUAGGCUCAUCUGAAUAACGUGGCUCUCUACGAGGUGGUAUAGUUCUGACAGAAGACACCAGGAAAUUCUCAAGAUAUACAGGACUGCAACCUAGGCUCUGAUACCAAACUAACACACCCCGACCAAAGUCAAGACGUGUUUGCCGUCACGUGAGCGUGAUGUAACCUUGUGUACAAAGCGGAAGCGAUAAAGAAUAAAGAAAAACGAACAAUUUAAAACCAAGCAACUAGCAAUUCCAGUUAAGAAAUGAUGCUAGUGAGGUCUAAGUAUAUAGAUACACUUUCAAAGCAAUAAGAAGAUCUAAUUGCAGUCAAGUAGGACAAUUACUAAGAUACAACACCCUAAGGUGAAUCCUACUUUUUGGAUUCUAUCAGAACACUGUUGGAUUCCUCGUGGCCACCAGACUCUGCUAUCUAAAACCUGGAGGGGCGAAAAACAAAGUUCAGUGGGUCAGUAAAACACAUUUAUACAAAAACCUUAAUUUUCUUUUGAAUAUACUAACCCCUCGCCGUAAAACAAGUAUAUAAAUACUUUCCCAGAAAAUAGAAUACAUAAAUAUGUAUAUAUCUCAAAUCAUGCACAAAUCAAGAUUCAUAUUUGUAUGUAUGCCAUGCCUAUAUACAACAGAAUAAGCAAUUCAGGUAAGAAUAGUUUCAUAGAAAUAUAACAUGUUAGCCAUAACCCCUGUGGUAGUCUGUACAGCUGAAUUCAUAGCUCAAAAGUCAAUCUAGCCAGAGUCACUAUAAUGACCUAUAUAGCAAUAUACUGCACAUAAGUCGGAACCACUAAAAAGGGUCUGUACGACAAGAUUGGGUGUAAUAUAGUUAUGGUCAAUUCUAUUCUCUCAUAAUAGUCGGGCGAUAAAUCACUAGUCACCUACGAGUCGGAACCAUAAAUAAGGUCUGUACGACAAGAUUGUGCACCUAAAUUGGAUCUAAUAUGAGCAUAGAGUGAGGGAGGUGACAUAAUAAACAGGCCUGUAUCAUAUCUCUGCCUAAAUCACAAUCACCCUAGGUGCAGUUUUAUGAGCUCAACAAUAUUUAAUCACAUAUCACAUCAUCGACAAUUCACAUAACCAAACAUAUCUUACCUGAGCUUACCUGAGCCUCCACAGCACCAUGUAACAAUAUGCAUGAUUAUGAUAA